UACGUAGGGGGGCAAGCGUUUGUCCGGAAUCAUUGGGCGUAAAGAGCGUGUAGGCGGCCCGGUAAGUCCGCUGUGAAAGUCCAGGGCUCAACCCUGGGAUGCCGGUGGAUACUGUCGGGCUCGAGUCCGGAAGAGGAGUGUGGAAUUCCUGGUGUAGCGGUGAAAUGCGCAGAUAUCAGGAGGAACACCAAUGGCGAAGGCAGC
rnacentral:rRNA from 1 species